AUCAGAAGCAGAAGCGCCCUGGUGAUUCUAUGCCACACCACCAUUCCCCAGGAAAAUGUUCUCCACUGAGACAAAAUCCUUAAAUUUUUAGAAUGGCCUUAUUAUGGAUUACAGCAAACAUCUCAGCACAUCUUUCUCAGCAAGGAUCUCAAAACAGCAUUGGGAUGGCCUUAUUAAUAGAUCCCUUACGAAAACUCAGAAAAGUUAGAGAGGCACUCAGAAUCUUCCUAAAAUAUGAAAUGUUGAAAUCUGGAUUCUUUUUUUACCAUGACUGCAAAAUGUAAGCCACUACUUGGGCUCACCUUGUUGAAUCAGAUUUCUUCUACUUUGCCAUUUUGAUGAUAUCACUCCCAGGUAUGUUUUUUUCUUUUUUUUUCCUUUUCUUUUUCCUUUCUUUUCUCUUUCUUUUUUUUUUUUUUUUUUUUUUUUGAGACAGAGUUGUGCUCCUGUUGCCCAGGCUGGAGUGCAAUGGCACGAUCUCUGUAGGCUCACUGCAACCUCCACCUCCCCAGUUCAAGCAAUUCUCCUGCCUCAGCCUCCCGAGUAGCUGAGAUCACAGGAGCCUGCCACGACGCCCAGAUAAAUUUUUGUAUUUUUUUAGUAGAGAUGGGGUUUCACCAUGUUGGCCAGGCUGGUCUUGAACUCCUGACCUCCAGUCAUCUGCCCACCUAUGCCUACCAAAGUGCUCACUCCCAGAAGAAAAAGAAUCGAAUAGCUGGGCCACAGUGUUAUAGGAUUUAUGCAGCUCCCCCUUCGUCUUCCACCAUGAUUGUAAGCUUCCUGAGGCCUCACUAGAAGAUGAACAGAUGCCAACACCAUGCUUCCUGUAAAAUCUUCAGAACUGUUUUUUCCACUUCCCCAGAUGGUGUCUGUGGGAUUGGCUCUCACUUUCAAGCUUCACUGACCCUAGAUGAUGGACUAGGAUCUGCUUUGGACAUCUGAGCCCAGGCUAAAGUAGGCAAAGGACAAGAGCUGCCCGCUCUUUCAGAAGCAUCUCUCAGAGAGUGACAUCCCCCUGCACACAGCUGCCAUGUCUGUAUGGCUGACUUGGGAGAAAUGCCAGAAAGGUUGGCAUGAGUGAGCAACUGUGAGGAGACCAUCAGAUGGAAACACCCAAGAGGAAGUUAAAUCCAGCCCCUGGCAGAGUAGAGGUCUUGGAAUGAUGUGGAAAAGAGCGUGGACUUCAUGCUGAGGAAGUGAAGCAUUCUUCAGUCCAGAGUUGCCCACUGUGUGCACCAAAUGUUGAUGAUUGCCUCUGGCCAUGGGCAAAUUUAUCUGUGUGCUCCUGAGUUCUACAUUGAUAUUAUUUUCUAUGGGCCCUGAAAUGAAAACUUCAGGGAAAAGCUUUUCUUAGACGUUAGGGUUUUAAAGAUAGUUCUUAAGAAAAGUAAUGGGGACAUGCCUGGUAGUAGAAAGAACAGAUGUGUAGUAAGGUGAAAAGUGAUUAAGGGGGAAGAGCAGUGGAGUGAGGAAUGAAAGUUUAAAGGCUUGUGAUAUGAUCAAGAGAUCAUUUUCAGUCUAGCAGAUAAUCAGAAAAGUAAAAACCUAAGAUAUUUCUUAUUUUAAAUUUUUUUAAAGAAGAGCUCAAGCAACACAGUGGGAGUUUUUUGAGGCAGGUGGACAACAUACUCAAAUGAAUAGCUGAUUUUAUUUCAUACAUGAAGGAAAAUAGCCAAAAAUGUUCAUCAAAUGAGAUAAAAGCCUGUGAAUGAUUAUCCCUAAGGAAUUCUUCCACCUGCUGGCCCUUGGAGAACUAGAUUGCCUCCUUUUAAAAAUCCUCAACAGUUGUUCAAAGAUCUGGCAAAUUCAUUAUCACCUCUAAUAGCUUCUAAUUAAACUGUUAUAGUAAAGCUGUAGGAUUUUUUAAAAGUCACCCAUGCACAAUAACACCUGUUAAGUGUUCUCACAUGUUGAGCCCAGAUUCAGAAAGAGUACACACCUGCUCUAUGGCAUGCUAUCUUACCUCAAAUACAGGCACUCAGACGGUUCCUUCAGGAAGGGACCUCUGAGACCAGAGACUGCUGGGGACAUGGUGGGCAUCCUCUUUCCAGCAAUACUCAAAUAGGAACUGGAUGACUUUCCCGAAGUGUCUACAGCAAAGAACACUCUAUUAUUCAUUUAAGCUGUCAAGUUGUGGUGUUUCUGACAAGCUGUGGCAAAUAUGUAGAGACCUAAUGAAAAACACAAUAUCAUUAUGCUUACCCAGUGCCUUAUAACUCAAAAUGCAAGUCCAUGUGAUGAAUUUAAUCAGGCAUUAACACAUGAUUGAGUUCUUAUGAUGUUCCUGAUACUUUGCUUAGUAGUGGGAUAGAAAGGUGAGAUCAUUAACCUCACAAACCUUGGAAUGCAGUGGAGAAGGAAGAGCCUCUACCCAUAGGACACUGAGCUCAUUUGAUUUGGUUUCUGCCCCCCCACCCCUAGCCUUUUCAGGAGGGCAGGGCAGGUGUUCUUCACACUUUUACCACAGUGUCAGUGCUUGGCCAACGUCUUAUAGUUUAUAAGUGGCCAAAUCUUGGACAAUCCUCUGGUUAUUUGGGAUCUUCCCCUUGAUCUCUUUCCUCCACAGCAGACUUUCAACAAUUCUAUGUUCCUCAGAAUAUCCUGUCUCUCUCAGCAGAAGGUUCUAGAACAUAAUUGCUAGGCCCAGAUUCAUGAAAAAGGUGGCAGCUGGCAUUUUCCAUCAAGGGAGCUUUUUAAUAAUGAAUAAUCCCAUGAUAUAUUUAUCUUCUUUAAAACUAUUGCAAUUCAGACUGAAGAAUAACAACAAUUCUCUGUCCCUCAUGAAACCAGUAAUUAAUUGCAAUGAGGACCUAAGGUUGCCACCUUACAUGCUGGCAUCUAGGAGACCCAGGGGCAAUGGAAACACAGGCCUAGUUGCAGUUCUGAGGAAGGGGCUUCUGAGAGCUUCAUGGCACAAGACAAGAGAACAAUUCUGAUUCUUUCAGGGUAAUUCCCUGUUUCCAAAAAAGUGAGGAAAAGCACAUCCUAAGGGAAGCUGUCUUUGUGAGACGAGUUAGCUCUUAGGCAUGACUAAAGUUUGCUGCUUUUCCCAUGUUUUCUUUUUUUUUUUUUUUCUUUUGUUCUGGAUGAAGUUUAGAGAAAAAGGAAGGCAGUAUUCUUGGCCUUCAGUGGACUGAACCCAGCAUGAAUUCUACCUCAAAGCUGAGGUGGCUCAAAAUAAUAUUUCUUGAGUACUUGCAUUAUUCUAUGUUUAGUGCCUACUGCUUUCACAUAUCAAUAUCAAUAUCUAUACUUGUACAUACCUUGCGUGUGUGUGUGUAUACAUACACCUGUACACACACACAGAAAGAGAGGAAGGGUAAAAAUUACAUAUAUAUAUAUAUAUAUAUGUAUAUAUGCAUACAUAUAUAUUUACCAUGUCACAUAGUAAUAUAAUGAAAAGUUUUACAAUGUCUCCAAAAAUUUGGCAUCCGUUCAGUUUUAUAGAAGAUGAAAAUGAAAUCAUUAUAUAAUUAUAAUAAAAAAAUAGGUAACUAUGAUAUGGAGUUCUCUGUAUAAUAGUCUUUGCUCCAAGCAUUCUUUGAUACACUAACUCAUUUAUCCUUAAAAAAAAAAAAAACCAAAGAAAGCACAGAAACAAAAACAAAACUAUGAAAUGAGUACUAUUAAAAUGGUUCCUAAUUUUAAAAUGAGGACAUACUGACACAGAGACAUUAAAAGACCUGUUCAUGGUCCUCACAAUUAAAAAGUGGCAGGUUUCUCAGGUGAUGAGUGUAGGAGAAAACUUUCACAAAUUCUGCAUCCGACAAAAGACUAAUAUCCAGACUCUACAAGGAACUCAAACAAAUUAGCAAGAAAAAAAAACAAUCCCAUCAAAAAGUAGACUAAGAAUGUGAGUAGACAAUUCUCAACAGAAAAUAUACAAAUGGCCAAGAAAUAUGAAAAAAUGUUCAACAUCAUUAAUUAUCAGGGAAAUGCAAAUCAAAACCACAAUGCGAUACCACCUUACUCCUGCAAGAAUGGCCGUAAUUAAAAAUUUAAAAAGUAGUAUGUCGGCAUGGGUGUGACGAAGAGGGAACACUUUUACACUGCUGUUGGGAAUGUAAACUACUACAACCACUAUGGAAAACAGUGUGGAGAUUCCUUAAAGAGCUAGAAGUAGAACUACCAUUUGAUCCAGCAGUCUCACUACUAGGUAUCUACUCAGAGAAAAAGAAGUCAUUAUAUGAAAAAGACACUUGCACAUGCAUGUUUAUAGCAGCACAAUUUGCAACUGCAAAAACAUGGAACCAGCCCAAAUGCUCUUCAUCAACAAGAGUGGAUAAAGAAAACGUGGUGUAUAUAUACUAUGGAAUACUACUCAGCCACAAAAAGGAAUGAAAUAAUGGCAUUCACAGCAAUCUGGAUGAAACUGGAGACCAUUAUUCUAAGUGAAGUAACUCAGGAAUAGAAAACAAAACAUCGUAUGUUCUCAUUUAUAAAUGGGAGCUAAGCUAUGAGGAUGCAAAGGCAUAAGGAUGAUACAAUAGAUUUGGCAGACUCAAGGGGAAGGGUGGGAGGGGGAUGAAGAAUAAAAGACUACACAUUGGGUAAAGUGUACACUGCUCAGGUUAUGGGUGCAUCAUCAUCACAGAAAUCACCACUGAAGAACUUAUUCAUUCAACCAAACACCACCUGUUCCCCCCAAAACUAUUGAAAUAAAAAAAAAUAAAAGUAUUACAAGUAGACCUCAAGAAAAAAGAAAUUAUCAUAAGCCUGAUAGCUUAAAACAACACAAAUUUAUUACCUCACAAUCUGGAAGUCAGAAGUCUGAAACGGAUCUCCCUGGGCUAAAAUCAAGGAGUCAGCAGGGCUGAAUUCCUUUCUGGAGGUUUUAGGGGAGAAUCUGUUAUCUUGUCUUUUCUGGAUUCUAGUAGCUGCCCACAUUCCUUGGGUUGUGGUUCCCUUUUUUUUUUCAAGACCAGCAAUGGCCAAUGGAGUCUUUCUCACAUUGCAUCACCCUAAGACUAAUUUUCCUGCCUUUGUUUUUCACCUUGUGAUUAUACUGGGCCCACCAUGAAAAUCCAGGACAGUCUCUCCAUCUCAACAUUUAUAAUUCAAUCACGGAUUCUGAGGUUUAGGAUGAGGAUAUCAUUGUGGGUACCAUUAUUCUGCCUAUUACACCAACUAAUAGGAUAUCACUGGGGGAUCCUUAUUCUGCCUAUUAUACCAAGUAUCUGAAUGCAGCAGUUUACAAGAGAAUACAUCAAUUUGUCCAUAUUUUUCAAAAUGGAAAAUAUGUAUAUUUAACCCAGUAAUUCUAUUUCUGGAGAUUUAUGCUAAAGAAAUAUUCACAUAUGAACAUAAAAAUAUUUACGAAGAAGUUAAUUGCAGCACUAACUGGGCAGGCAAACAUGGACAUGAUGAGCCUCAGGGCUCAGCAGCAGCAGAGACAGCAGAGAUAAGUUACAGCCUGUCCUUGCAAAGGAUUCCUGAGCCCCUUCCUAUGUCCUCUCCUGGUGAGUCUUUUGCUCUCUCAUUCUGAUGCAGCCACAGUGGCAUCCUUGCCUCCUCCUCAGUCAGACCAUAGCCCUUUGCUCUUCCUCUUCAUGCACUUCCCUCAAAUCUCCAUUCAAAUGUCACCUUCUCUUUCCCCUUUCCAGACCACAUCCUGUGUCCAACUUAGCCAUGCUUAUCUUUCUCUGCAGCACCUAUUUCCAACUGACAAGCUGUAUAUUUACCUAUUUAUAUGUUUGUUUAUCUACCUACACUAGAAUAUAAGCUCUUCAAGGGAAGGAAUUUUUCUAUACAGACCAUUAUUUUAUUUGCAGUACCUGGUAUAGCACCGGCAUUUACUAGGAACCUAACAGAAAUAUUUGUAGAAUGAAUGAGUGGGUGAAUGGAUAUACUCAUUAAAAAGAGAUUAAAAGAUGUCUAAGAUGAAUUGCUUAACGAAAAUAUUUCUUGAAUAACAAUUUGUUAUGCCAUAUAUAUAGAUAUAGAUAUAGAUAUAUAGAUAUAUAGAUUCAUUCCUGUAAAUACUAUUGAAACAUCUACAUAGCCAUACCUAAUACAUGAUACCUAAAUGUGAUCUGUGGCUUUUGCUAUUUACUUUAUUAUUUCUGAAUUAUAAUAAACAAUAACCAUGUAUCUUUUCUGUGGUCAGAAAAAAGUUUUAAAUGAAUUUAAAAAAUCUGAAUCUAGGUUUAUAAUCCAAGUCAAAUGCUGCCUUCUCACUAUGUAUCAACUGCCUUGGAAAGAAAACUUCAUUUUAAUUUUUUCUACCUCUCAGAUGACUGAGCAAAAAUGAAAUUCUAAAGAAGACAUUUGUAUCUGUCAGGAUCUAGUCAAAAUACAGGAACUACUCUUGGUAUUUCAUACUGAAAAAAAUUGUAAGAAAGGAAUUGAUUACAUGAGUGAUAGAAGAAAGAAAAUCCAGGCUGGGGUCUGUGAGGAAAUAGUGAUUAAGUAAUGGAUGAAACUGACGCUGAGCCUGGGGGGACUAGAGAUGAUGUAUUCUUACCAGAAUCCAAAACUUGGGCCACUUAGCUGAAGUUGCACUCAUGAUGGAUAUAUGGAGGGAAGUCCUAGACAAUGGGACGUAGAACUGCUAAAGAUGUGAAGCUGCUGCUAGAAAUGUUACCCAAAGUGGAGAAAGAUGGGGAGAGACAUCCUCCUUCAUGCCCUGCCAGCCGGUGAUGUUGUUGUCCAAUGACCAAAAUUACUCAGAAACCAGAAGGCGGGGGAGCCUGGGAAAUGCAGUUCCCUGCACUAUAGAACAAGGUGAGGAGAGGGAUUGAAUCUGAGAGGCAGAUGCCUGGUGGGACAGUUGGAAGGAACCAGUGCUAGUCAUCAGAAGCCACAACAGAGUACUUAAGAUAGCUUGCUAUUCCAGUAUGCUGUUAAUGAAAUUCAAUUUACAUCCUAGUCAUCUUGUCAGUGUCCAUCUCUAUGUGCAUUUUGCUUUGUAAUAGAAGUGCAGUGUUCAAUUUGCCUACCAAAAAAAAAAAAAUACAACCAACCAAACAAAAACAACCUUUCAGGACAUACAAACACUCUCAGUUAUAGACAUCUUAAAAGCAAGAUUCUACAUUCUUCGAAUAUCUUCCACUGUGAAUACCAGUCUGUUUAUUCAGGUGAAAACCUAUCAUCAGGAGAAAUAGAGACACAUGCACUGUUUCUAUCUAUCUAUCUAUCUAUCUAUCUAUCUAUCUAUCUAUCUAUCUAUCUAUCUGUCAUGUAUCUACACAGAGAGCUACACACACACACACACAAACACACACACACACACAAACACACAGGCACACACACUAACACACUCAUAUAGAGAGAGAGAUAAAGUCCCUAAGGAAUUUUCAAAAUUAUUUCCUUGACAUUUUGAAGUAAGUGUGUCUGUCUGUAUUGCAUGUAUUGGAGUAAAUAAGCCACAUAUGACAACAAGAGUACAAAGAGAAUGUAGAUAGAAAAACAUAGAAUAUAGAUAGAGAAUAUAGAUAGAUAAUCACAAUAGUGGCAUAGGAAGAUACAUUAUGAUUAGUCCACCAUAAAACUACAAAAAGAGAACUUAGGUGUAUUUGAUAUAUUGUAACAGACUAGUGGACAUUAUAUCCAAUAAGGGUGUUAUUGGUCAGAUUAAUAAGAGGGUAUUAUUCCUCAGAGGCUGCUGAAAUCAACCCCCAUUCAUUAAUAUUCUAUAAAAUAAAUUAGACUACUUGAGCUUCUAAACAUCUGGGAUCAGGUGUAACUUUGAUGGUCCAAGAACAAGUGAUCUGUCAAGAGGCCUGAGGUUUGUACUGAAAUCUAAUGGCAAAAAUGAACUGAAACACUUUGGAGAAGAAACAGCCUGUAGUUUUAAUUUGAUUCUCACUGUCUUCCAAGGAAAAAUUUUCCUGGAUUGCUGAACUUUAGACAUUCUCUGCCUUCUGAAAAUCUCAUCCAUGCUAUGAAUAAAAUUCUCAUUUUAUGGGGAAGAGGAGAAAAUUAAUACAUGUAGUCCUGACUUUACCUCUUCUUUUCCAAUAUCUUGCUGGGUUUGUCUACCUGUUAAUCCACUAUAACUAUUCCAACUUGGUUCAUUCAAAACCAAUCUGGAAGCCAUUCUUCCUCCCCUGUCUUCAUGUUUGUUACAAGUAAUAUGUUUAAGGAUCUCAAUAUCUUUCCAGUGACCCAGGCUCCAUGCUUGGACAACCGAUACUUACUCCUCUGCUGUUUCACCCACACUAUCUUAACAUGCUUUCAAGCUUUACCUCCUAUUUCCACUUCUACUUCUCCAUUCACACUCCUACCAUCCUCAUUCUCACCUGCACUGUUGCAAUAGCCAUCCAAAAACUCAGUGAACUUGCAGACUUGUGCUAAAGUCCAUUCUUCAUACUGCUGUGGAUUAAUCUUUCUAUGGCAUGGUUAGGCUGUUAUUUUGCUUAAAAACAUUCAAAUUUUUGUAAAUUUUAAGUUUAGGGGUACAAGUGCAAGAUUGUUACAUAGGUAAACUUGUGUCAUGGAGGUUUGUUUUAGGAUUAUUUCAUCACCCAGGUAUUAAGCCUGGUACCCACUGGUUAUUUUUUCUGAUCCUCUCUUUCCUCUCAGCCUCCACCCACUGAAAAGCCCCAUUGUGUGUUCUUCCCCUCUAUUUGUCUAUGUGUCCUCAACAUUCAAUAUUUUCUUACUGUGUACAGUUGUUUAUUUACAAUUAACAUUGCAGAAGAGUUAGAAAAGAUAUAACAUAAAGAUAAAAGGCAAACCUUAUUUAAUUUUUUCUUUUUGGAACCAUAUACAUUAGCCAGUCACUUAUUCUGCAUCUUUGCAAUGUGUUUUCAUGUGGAAGGACUUGUAGCUGACUGCAAGCUGUUCACAUUACUUGUACCUGAAAUUCUUAUAUCCAAGUACGUAUUAGAUGUAUUCAUUCUGCCAGAAAUGCUUCUCUUUGUUUUCCUUUUUUCUUUUUUACCCUUGUCCCUUCCUAUACAUCUUUUUAAACUCAUUUAAAUUCUAUCUCUACAAAAGGUUUCCCCUGAUCUAUUCUCUCUCCAUCCUGGCUGAUUUAAUUCCUCACUUUGAUGACUUAUCAGAGCUCUGUACCUCUCUCACUUUGUUUUCUGCAUUCACCCUUAACCAAAUUCUGUCUUGUAAUAUUGCCCAUCUAAAGUGGGACAUACUGCCGUUGCUGACUGUAUCUUAGGUUCCCGGAGAGCUGGAGCAAUGUUAUCUCUGUGACCUGUAUCCCUUACCAGGUCUAGCAUGGUUUGUUGUAUGGUAGUUAAUAUUCUUUUGUUGUUGUUGUUCUGUUUUUGCUCCUGCUGUAGUCAUAAGUGGCCUUUUUAAUAUUGCCUUUAUAAGUCUUUUUGUUAUCUGGUUAAAGGAAGAGAGCAAACAUGAUGUCCUCAAGACUAAAAAGAUUCAGACUUCCCUGUUUUCCUGUAAGACAGAACUGAAAGAAGCAUCGAUUUACAUUAAAAUGAAAAUAAUAACAACAUUAUUUAUUCAUGUCAAGGCUAUGAAAUAAAAUCAAGGGUUUGUCAUGAGGAGUUGAAAACUAAAAAAUAAGAAAUGUAUCUGAAUCUGUUGUCUCCUAGAGUAUAGGUAUCAACAAGGCCACUGUUCAGGAGUAUGGAUUUUAGGUACUCUUAUGGACUGAAUUUUGUCCCUCGAAAAUGCAUAUGUUGAAGUCCUAACUUCCAAUGUGAUAGCAUUUGAAAAUGGGGCCUUUAAGAUAUAAUUAAGGUUAGAUGGGGUCAUGAGGGUGGUGCCUCCAUGAUGGAGAUUAGUGCCCUUAUAAGAAUAAGAAGUGAUUAGUGUUCUCUCAGUAUCUUGCUUUAAUAUGUGUGGCUACAGUGAGAAGAUAGCAGUCUGUAGACAAGGAAGAGUCCCCUCCCUAAAACCUGACUACGUGGGAACCCUGAUCUUAAACUUGACAACAUUUAGAAUUGUGAGAAAUAAAUGUCUGUUGUUUAAGCCACACAGUCUAUGGUAUUUUGUCAUAGAAGCCUGAGCAAACUAAGACGGGUAUAUUGUUUAAAACGGCACUGAUAAUUCACCUGGAAGUAUAAAAUAUUCAGAGCUGCCUGAAAGUUAGUUAUACUAACUCAGCCAACCCAGUGAUAUGUACAGCAUAAUGAUGACAGGAAGAAAAAAAAAGCAUUUUCUGCAUGUUUUUUGUCCCACUGCUGUCUCCUUUCCCUGUCCCUGUGCAUUCCUUAUUAAGUUCAAUUGUAUUAUAGAUAACACCUUUUAUUACAGACUUUGCUUUCUCAUUACUUGAAGCUCAUUUUGAGUUACAAUCUAUGUAAUAUAAACUCAGAUGUGAGCCAGGAUUGAAGGACAUAACAAUAACUCAAUUUUUCUGUAAAACAAGUAGGAAGUUGUUCCCAUUUAUGAAUAAGGAGUCUAGAUUUAAACAUUCCUAUAGGAAAUGAUGAAAUACAGUUUGAGUUCCUAAGGUUAUAUAUACAUAAAAAAAAUUAGUCUCAGAGAAGUCAAGUAGCUUAUCUGAGAUCAUUUAGUAACAUGGGAUGAUUUGUGUCCAAAACUGAUAUUCAGUUUACUUGUUUUCUUUUUCAAAAGGCUAGCGCUUUUAUUUAAGUUGGGAAAUAUGAUCUCACUUUCACAAUUUCUCAAAGUGUAUCUCUAGAGAUAUUAAUAAGACUAUAUUAAGAAACAUGUCCUGGUUUGGGAGGCUGAGGCGGGCAGAUGGCUCAAGUUUGAGACCAGCCUGAGCAACAUGAUGAAACCCCAUCGCUACCAAAAAGUAUUUUUUAAAAAUUAGUCUGCCGGGCACAGGGGUUCACACUUGUAAUCCCAGCACUUUGCGGGCCAAGGUAGGCAGAUCACCUGAGGUCAGGAGUUCAAGACCAGGUUGGCCCACAUGGUGAGAUCCCGUCUCUACUAAAAAUACAAAAAAUUAGCUGGGCGUGGUGGUGCACACCUGUAAUCCCAGCUACUCAGGAGGCUUAGGCAGGAGAAUUGCUUGAACCCGGGAGGCGGAGUUUGCAGUGAGCUGAGAUCGCUCCACUUCACUCCAGCCUGGGCGACAGACUGCGUGAGACUUUGUCUCAAAAAAGUAAUAAUAAAAAAUUUAAAAAACCUCAAGUCAUAUGACCCAGCAAGUUUAUUUCUGACCCUCUUGGCUCUAGCCAAGAGAAAUAAUUAAAUAUAUACACAAAAAUGUUUGUAUAAAAUUAUGCAAAGCAUGCUAUUCAUUAUCACUAAAAACUGGAAACAAUUCAAAUGCCCAUCAACAGGGGAAUGGCGAAACACACUGUAGAAUAUUCAUACAAUAUAAUACCAAUAACAGAGAACAAACUACUAAUACAUGCAGUACCACGGAUGGAUCUUAAAAACAUGCUGAGUGAAAGAAGACAGAUGCAGAAAAAAAAUACCUACCGUAUCAUGCCAUUUACACAAAAUGCGAGAACAAGCAAAGCUAAUCAAUGAGAAUGGAAGUUAAAAUAAUGAUUCUCUUUUAGGAGACUUAGGUUGAAAAAAGAAGGCAAGAAAUUUCUGGAGUACAAUGUGAGUACAAUGUUUUGUUUGUUGACAAAGUGGUGGAUAUGCUGGUGUAAGCAUUUGGCAAGCAGCAUUAAGAUGAACAAUUAUGAUUAUGCAUUUUAUUGCAAAUAAAUUAUGCCUCAAUAAAUUACUGUGAACGUUAAUAAAAAUUGCUAUGGCAGAAAAAUUCAAUCUUCUUGAUUUUCUCAUUUAAGUAUCUUAUGAAUAAAAUAGUCAAGAAUUUCAACUGCUCUUUUUCCUUGUAUUUUUCCUUCUGCAUGCCAAUAGCAGUUCUUUUACACUACUCUUCCUGAAGAAAACAACAACAACAAAAAACUUGUUUGUAAUGACCUGUAAUUUGUAAUGAGCAAAUGCUUUCACAUACAUAAAACUUGCAGGAAGUCUCUGGAAUUAUAAAAGUUUCAACAGGAGAGCAGCUGGGUCUAAUGUAUGCAAUCCAAUAUAACACACUGCAUUAUAUCUAGGGAAUAUAUUAGCAAAAAUUACUUUUUAUUACAAAGCACUAGGCCUUCUAGAAAUUUUUUAUGACUCACUAAAACGGUAGCAAAGUGUAGAAUAUUUUGUUGUUGUUGCUGCAUUUUCCAGAAAC
rnacentral:lncRNA from 1 species